UACGUAGGGUGCGAGCGUUAAUCGGAAUUACUGGGCGUAAAGCGUGCGCAGGCGGUUUUGUAAGCCAGAUGUGAAAUCCCCGGGCUUAACCUGGGAAUGGCAUUUGGGACUGCAAAGCUUGAGUGCGGCAGAGGGGACUGGAAUUCCUGGUGUAGCAGUGAAAUGCGUAGAUAUCGUAAGGAAGACCAGUGGCGAAGGCGGGUCUCUGGACAGUUCCUGACGCUGAGGCACGAAGGUCAGGGGAGCAAACGGG
rnacentral:rRNA from 1 species